rnacentral:rRNA from 1 species
GACGUAGGGCGCGAGCGUUGUCCGGAUUUAUUGGGCGUAAAGAGCUCGUAGGCGGCUUGUCGCGUCGUCUGUGAAAUCCCGCGGCUCAACCGCGGGUCUGCAGUCGAUACGGGCAGGCUAGAGUUCGGUAGGGGAGACUGGAAUUCCUGGUGUAGCGGUGAAAUGCGCAGAUAUCAGGAGGAACACCGGUGGCGAAGGCGGGUCUCUGGGCCGAUACUGACGCUGAGGUGCGAAAGCGUGGGGAGCAAACAGG